rnacentral:tRNA from 1 species
UGGUGGGGAGCUCAGUGGUAGAGCGCCUGCUUAGCAUGCAAGAAGUCCUGGGUUCAAACCCCAGACCUCCAU